rnacentral:rRNA from 1 species
GAUGAACGCUGGCGGCGUGCCUAAUACAUGCAAGUCGAGCGAAGAGAUGAGGAUCUUGCUCCUCUGACGUUAGCAGCGGACGGGUGAGUAACACGUGGAUAGCCUACCUAUUAGACUUGGAUAACUUCGGGAAACCGGAUCUAAUACCGGAUGAUAUAUUGAACCACAUGGUUCAAUAGUAAAAGUCGGUUUUUCUGUCACUAAUGGAUUAAUCCGCGCCCCAUUCGCUAGUUGGUGAGGUAACGGCUUAGCAAGGCAACGAUGCGUACCCGCCCUGAGAGGGAGAAUGGCCAGACUGGAACUGAGACACGGCAGACACACCGAGAGGGAGAAGCAGUCGGGAAUCCUCCGCGAUGGGGGAAAGCCGGACGGAGCAACGCCGCGUGAGUGCUGAAGCACUUAGGAUCGUAAAACUAUGUUAUUAGGGAAGAAGAAAUGUGUAAGUACCUAUGAACGUCUUGACGGUACCGAAUCAGAAAGCCCCGGCUAACUACGUG